UACGUAGGUGGCAAGCGUUGUCCGGAUUUAUUGGGUUUAAAGGGUGCGUAGGCGGUUUCUUAAGUCAGUGGUGAAAUACGGCAGCUCAACUGUCGAGGUGCCAUUGAUACUGGGAAACUUGAGUACUGAUGAGGUAGGCGGAAUGGACGGUGUAGCGGUGAAAUGCUUAGAGAUCGUCCAGAACACCGAUAGCGAAGGCAGCUUACUAAGGAGUAACUGACGCUGAGGCACGAAAGUGUGGGGAUCAAACAGG
rnacentral:rRNA from 2 species